GAGGCGGGGCUUGCCGCCGGCGCUCUAGGGCAUGAUGGCGCCCCUAGCGGCCGCCGUGGGAGGAGUCGGCCCAAAUUCUGUCUCCCUCCUGGGUCCUAGCCAGCCCCCGGGCUGCCAGCGCUCCUGGGCUUAUCACAAGCUUCAUAAUAUUCCGUAUUUCGUAAAGGCCCAAAGAUAUCUUGUAUUAUGCACUACCAGUCUUACUGCAGAUCUCAGGAUAUUCAUCGUUACCAGUGUAUGCCUUGAGCUGGGAGAACAACGCUUACUUCGGGAGUCUGGAGUUGGACAUCCAUCUGGAUGACAUGGCUGGUUCAGUGAAGUUGAUGUCAGAAGAUAGUUGCCUCUGUUCUUGUGGUGUUUGCUUGUGAGAGGACACUAGUAUUGGUGCAUCAAUCUUCCCACUGGGUUCGAAGGAUCUUCUGCAGGCAACAUUGAUUGUACUUCUCUAAUGAUUUGAGGUGUCUCCUGUAUUUUGUCCAUGUCUCAGCUCUGUACAGUAAGAUGGGAAUCAUAACUGCUUGAUAAAUCAUGACCUUGGUUUUGGAUAUGAUCUCACAAUCUUCAAACACCCAUUUCCUCAGGCAUCUGAAGGCUGCACUUGCACAUUUGAGGCAAUGUUGGAUGUCUUCAUAGAUGCAGCCUUCUGCAAGAGAAGGCUUUCAAGGUACAGGAAAUACUCAAUGUUCUUCAGAGUCUUGCUGUGAAUCUGAAUGACUGGAGCUGGGGACUGCUCAUUAAGAGCUUGUUGAUAGAGGGCCUUAAGCUUCUGAAUGUUAAGUGUCAGUCUCAUUUUCUUGUAUGCCUCAGUAAAGUCGUCAAUGAUUGCCUGAAGGUCUGCUUCUAAAUGAGCACCCGCUACAGCAUCAUCAGCGUACUGGAGUUCAAUGAUUGAGGUUGGGGUGGUCUUAAUAUUGGCUUAGAGUCAGCUGAGAUUAAACAGUUUACCAUCCAUUCAGUAGUUUAGCUCCAUUCAAACUGAAAGCUUGUUGGUGGUCAGAUGUAUUAUUGUGGUAAGGAAUAUCAAGAAGAGCGGUGGAGUGAUGAUGCAGCCUUAUUUAACUCCCAUCUUAAUCUCAGUGGGAUCUGUGAUAGAUCCGUUACCAGAACCACUAUUUGAAUACCAUCAUGGAGCAGGCAAAGAAUGGCGGUGAUUUUUGGUGGGCAUCAAUAUUUCAGAAGGAUCCUUCACAGUGGUUCUUGGUUGACAGAGUUGAAGGCUUUUGUGAGGUCAAAGAAGGCCAUGUAGAGAUGUUUAAUGUUGUUCCCAGUAUUUUUCCUGCAGCUAGCAAUCUGUAUAUCAUGUCAGUUGUGCCUCUUGAUGCCCUAAGCCCUCACUCCAGAAGGAGCUCUUCAGCAAGUGGAAGGAGAUGGUUCAGGAGGGUUCUUGCAAUGCUUUCCUGUAGUGGACAGCAAGGCAAUCCCUCUAUAAUUUCCACAGUUGGACUCGUCUCCUUUCUUGAAGAUUGUCACAGUCAUGGUGUCCCUGAGGUCAUCUGGGAUUUCCUCAUUGUUCAGUGGCGACGCGUAGGGGGUGCACGGGGGUGCAUGUGCACCCCCUGAGAGUGCUGGUGCACCCCCUGGAAGCAGCAUUCCCUGCUUAGGCAAUGGGCAGGGCAGGGCAAGUGAGUGCUGGUGCCCCCCUUGAGAGUGCUGGCUGGGGAGUAGGGGCGCCAGGAGAAGUGAUC